UAUUGCUCGCAAGUUAACCCUCACUUUCCUCUAUAUAUUACUAUUUCUCAAUACUUAGACUCAAUUUCUCAGGAACCAAAAAAUUAUAUCCAUAUUAAUUAAGAUGAAAUCAUACCUUUCUGCAUUCCUAUUAUUCCUUCUCCUCCUUAAGCUUGUUGAUAAAUCCAUCUCUGCACGUGUUCCUCCUUCUUCAACCAAAGUAAUAUUCAAGAAGAUUGGUGAGAAUUCAUUGGACAAUGUCAAACAAAAGUUCUCUCCCCAACAGCCAAACUCACCACCGAAGCAAAUCGAAGGCCUAUCUUUCUUCAAAGGGUACUUAUCUAACUUCGGCUACCUCCAAUCCUCCGAGCCAUUCAACGAUUAUUUGGACGAGGAAACCAUAACAGCUAUUAAGACCUACCAGCAAUAUUUCAAUCCUCAACCUACUGUUGACAUAAACAACGAGACACUUCAUUAAAUCAUACUACCACGAUGUGCUGUUCCCGACAUGAACAUCCUCAAGUUUCUAUUACUAAGAAGAAUAAGGCCAAGCAAGUAUUAAAAGUGUGAGAAAAGUCUCUAUUUUCUAAAAUUAAGGAUUCUGGUUCAAUAGUCAAUUUUAGGAUGUUGACCAAUAAUAAGAAAAAAUGUUAAUACUUACUUUUCCUUUUUGAAACAACUUUGGUCACCUUCACCAAGAUGUUAAGUCUGAGGUAGUGUCACUGAAAACCAAAGUGCAGAAAUUAGACAACAGUAACACUACAUUGUAGAAGAUCAUAUUAAAUUCUCGAUCAUCAAAUAUUAAAAUAAUUUUCUUAACAGAAAUUAGAACACUAAUUUGACAUAACUUAUAAUGAUCAUAUCAAACUCUUUUUGAGAUAACUUAUAUGAUCAUAUCAAAUUAAUUAAUCAUUUGAUUAUAUCAAACUCUUUUUGAGAUAACUUAUAAUGACUCAUGAAACUUAUUUCUUCUUUCAUUUAAUUUUCCUGUACAAGAUAUAAUUUUAUUCAUAGAACUCAAACAUAAUACCAAGGGUUAAUGGAUUCCUGUUUGAUUAAUCAUUAAUUUUACAGGUAUUUAAUCAUAUUCAAUAUUCAUUCAACAAGUGUUUUAAAACAUUAGAUGUCCGAAAUCAAAACAUAACAAAUAACCUAUUAAUUAUUAUGACAAUUUUAGGUCAAAAAAAACUAUUAAACCUCUUCUUGAGAAUUUUCUAUUAACUUUAUAGUAAAUUUAAUCAUUAAAAAAUUUCAAUUGAAUCGGUUCAAUGAUUCAUUCAUAUGUAACUCAUUUAUAUAUAUAAAUUAAUAAAUGAGAUCUAUUAAUAUUUAUCCAAUAAAUACUAUCACAUAAAUAUUAAUAUAUUUGAGUUAUUGAUGUCUUAUAUAUAAUAGUUCUAUGAUUAAGAAUAAUUUAUAUUAAAAUUAAAAAAAAAACUUAUUUCUUAUUAUUAUAAUCUUUAUUAUAAUGAUACGUUUUUAAUUUUAAUUAAAGACAUUAUCAAAUAAACUAUUUAAUCAAAUGGUAAAAUAUAAUAAUAUUAUAUUAUUAAAAUUAGAAUUAAUUGAUGACGUGGGACGUAGAAAAUUGAUUACACGUGUACCGUGUGAUUGUAGUUAUCGGCGGAGACAAGUUCAUUCUGUUACACUGUCCGGGAUGAAUUAAAUGUUAAAAAGUACAGAAAGUUUGUGUACUUAUACAAAAUUGACAUAUUAAUGUAAUUUAUUCAUUAUUAUAUUUGUAAUAUGAUACAAGUAUAUAAUUAAAAUAAAACUAGCUAAUAGCAAUAUUUGAAAAUUAAAACCAUGAAAACUUUUAAAAUUAAAACUUAUUGUAAACUGCUUAUAUAACUAGCUAGGGACUGGUUUUGUGUUGCUCGCUUCGUUUUGGGCUUGGAGUCAUUUGCCACUUGCAGGCUGCAGCUGUUGAUAGAAGUUCAUGCACGUACGUCAUUGGGAUAUUCGGGGUCAGUAGUGGUGUGCUGGUAUUUGUUUCCAAUUGGUCAUUUUUGUCUUUUUUUAUUUUGUUAAUUAUUCAAUUUUUGUUCACCUACUAGUUUCUUUUUUGUCUUGUAAGAGAUAUUAUAUUUGCCUUACUUGAAUUUUGAAUUUAGAACAAGUUUUACAUAGAGUUUUAUUAUUGUUGUGGAUUUUAUCUUCUAUGUUUUGUUUUAAUUAAUUAAUUUAUAUUUCAAAUAAAAAAGAUAAAAGAUUCGGUUGUUUAGCAUAUUCAGAUUGGUCGUAAGCCUAUUGGCUUUCUCAUUUUAUGAAUUUUAAUGGUUAUUCUUUUCAUUGUUAAUUUCGCUAUUUUCUCUGUAAGUUCUUUCUAUUUUUAUAUUUUAUUUUAUAAAAUAUUUCGAACUGUAUCUAGAGUUUGAUUCUUAAAUUGAGAUUUUUUUUUUAUUGAGUGUUAAAUACAGUGAGGUUGAGUGCAAACACUGAUUUAUUUGUGUGGUAAAAAUAUGUCUUAUCUCCAACAAUAUAUUAUGAUUAAAAUAAUAUUUAUCAAUUCUUUUAGAAGGCCCAAAGAUAUGCUACUGCAUGACGAAAAUAGAAGUGAUUCCAACAAAGUGAACAUCACAAAUGUUAAUUAACAACCGCACACCAAUAUAUAUUGAAAGAAAAGGAUGUUACAUAAAUUACAACGGGCCCAAACAAAACUCAUGAUAGAAGAGCCUAUUUGAACCUUAAAUUAGCUAUAUAUUGUGAGCAAAAGCUUCCUUCAAUAAAACAAGAUCCCGCACCAAACAAAAUCCUGAAUAAUUAAAACUAAUAUCAUGUGAGGCUAGAUUGUUUACACAAUUAUUACCCUCACGAUAUAUGUGAUCAACCAAAAAUCUUUACAAAUUGAAUAAACUAAUGCUUCAUAUAUAAUAUACCGACUUGAAAUUACAUUAUCAUGUAAUAUACGUUUUUCUUUAUAAGAUGAUAGAUAUAUAUAUAUAUAUAUAUAUAUAUAUAUAUAUAUAUAUAUAUAUAUAUUAUUAAAUUCUAUUUGUAUAUAAAGAUUAUAAUUACUUGGACCAGAGAAGAGUGUUGCCCGACUAAUAACUUGUUUGAGUAAGCAUAUUUAGGAAUACUUAAUUUGAUAAAGAAAUAAGAAGAAAAAUGAAAGAAAUUUCUUCUAAAUUAAUAUUAACUUAUUAAUUUAUAAAAAAUUUCUUGUAUAAUUUCCUUUAAAAGAUAAAAAAAAUAUUUCUAUAAAUUAUUUUAUGCAUAAAUUAAUUUGAACUUGUAGAAAAACUCAUUUUAUUUUUUAUUCUUAUUUUCUUUUUUGUAAAAGUAUUUCUAGAUAAGCUCAUUCGAACAUGUCCUAAUCCAUUUUUACAUACAUUUUUGGAAACAGAAUUUGGCAUACAUAAUUUAAACACAUCAAUGUAUUAAAAUUUCUAACGGUAUCUGAUUUCAUUUUUUUUUGUUGCCAUAUAUGAUUGUUAAUAGAAUUUUAAUUACACCAUUUAAUUUUUGGCCUAAUUGUUCUUUUAUUUUUUUGGUAAAUUUUAUCCUUAAUAAUUAAUUUUGCGUAUUUUAUCACUAAUUUUUUUAUAAAAAAAAACUUGAAAUUUUUUAUCUUUUGUCAUUGAAUUGACCUGACACUCUAAAAUAAUUGAAUUUUUUAUACUCAACUUUUUACUUUUUUGAUGAAUUUUAUUCCAAUUUUUUUCACUUUUUAGUGAGUUUUAUCUUAAGGUUUUUUUUAAAAAAAAAAAUUGGAGAAUUUUACGUUUAAUAUUUAUGCUUAUAUCAACAUGUCAAGUGAGCUCAAUGAAGAGAGAAAAUUAGCAAGUUUUAUAGAAUGUUGACUAAAAUACGUCAAAUAAAUUGUUGAUAGCAAAAUUCACCAAAAUGUAAGAAGUACUUAAGGCUAAAACAACAAUUAAACCUUAAUUUUAUUAUAAUUUGAUCAACCAGGCAAGAUUUACUGAUUUUAAACAUCUCUAAGGGUGUGUUUGGUUGUGUUUAGAAGGAGAAAAAUAGGAAAAAAAAAAUUGUAAUUCGCAUGUGAAACGCACACUCUUUAUCCUCUAUUUUAAUUUAAAAAAAUAUUCUAUUUUCAUUAAUUCUAUUUCCAUCCUCUUCCAAACGAAACAUACCGUAAGAUUUUGAACUCAGAUAUUGCAUAUAGAGGGCACCGCCAUUAAUCAAUGCAUUUGUCUUUUACCUUAUUCGGAAUAAUGUGGUUCAUAAUUGAGUAUAUUUAUUGGCAUUUCAAAGGCUGUAGAAUUGUACUACUGUAUUCUAAUAAUUUAACUAAUUAAUUGAGCAUAUCCGUUAAAAUUUAAAACUCCAAAACCUUGAGCAUAUAUGAACCAUAAUAUUGUAAAGUCACAUAUACCUUAUUGUAUCAUAGUGGGAGUAUUAAUUAUUGGGCUAGGUACGUAGGCGUUACCAUUGCCGGCCAUGAAACGAGGAAAUACUCUCAUCACCAUGUUAAGACACAAUAACCAUUGUAAUUAAUUGUAUCUUAAAUAUUAGAUUGACUCUUUAUAAACCCAGAAAGUUAAUACAUACUCAACCAACCCGCACUCUCCUCCCUCUUGGAAUUAUAUUGCUCGCAAGUUAACCCUCACUUUCCUCUAUAUAUUACUAUUUCUCAAUACUUAGACUCAAUUUCUCAGAAUUAAGAUGAAAUCAUACCUUUCUGCAUUCCUAUUAUUCCUUCUCCUCCUUAAGCUUGUUGAUAAAUCCAUCUCUUCACGUGUCCCUCCUUCUUCAACCAAAGUAAUAUUCAAGAAGAUUGGUGAGAAUUCAUUGGACAAUGCCAAACAAAAGUUCUCUCCCCAACAGCCAAACUCACCACCGAAGCAAAUCGAAGGCCUAUCUUUCUUGAAAGACUACUUAUCUAACUUCGGCUACCUUCAAUCCUCCGAGCCAUUCAACGAUUAUUUGGACGAGGAAACCAUAACAGCUAUUAAGACCUACCAGCAAUAUUUCAAUCUUCAACCUACUGGUAACAUAAACAACGAGACACUUCAUCAAAUCUUACUACCACGAUGUGCUGUUCCCGAC
rnacentral:lncRNA from 1 species